AUCCUUUGUGGUUCAUAAGUGUGAUGAUUGAGUUUUCAUGCUGUUGUUGAGAUGUACCUCUCUUUAAGCCUUGCUAUAACAAUGGCACAUUACUCACCUGACA
rnacentral:snoRNA from 1 species